rnacentral:rRNA from 1 species
GACGUAGGGUGCGAGCGUUGUCCGGAUUUAUUGGGCGUAAAGAGCUCGUAGGCGGCUCGUUGCGUCGGCUGUGAAAACCCGCAGCUCAACUGUGGGCUUGCAGCUGAUACGGGCGGGCUGGGAUUCGGUAGGGGAGACUGGAAUUCCUGGUGUAGCGGUGAAAUGCGCAGAUAUCAGGAGGAACGCCGAUGGCGAAGGCAGGUCACUGGGCCGCAACUGACGCUGGAGGAGCGGAAAGCAUGGGGGAGCGAACAGGA